UACGGAGGGUGCGAGCGUUGUCCGGAAUCAUUGGGCGUAAAGGGCGCGUAGGUGGCCCGGUCAGUUCGUGGUGAAAGCGCGGGGCUCAACCCUGCGUCGGCCAUGAAUACUGCCGCGGCUGGAGCACUGUAGAGGCAGGCGGAAUUCCGGGUGUAGCGGUGGAAUGCGUAGAGAUCCGGAAGAACACCGGUGGCGAAGGCGGCCUGCUGGGCAGUGCUGACAC
rnacentral:rRNA from 1 species